rnacentral:rRNA from 1 species
CGGGGCUAAACAUAUUACCGAAACUGUGGAUGAACCUCUUUAGAGGUUCGUGGUAGGAGAGCGUUCUAAGGGCGGUGAAGUCAGACCGGAAGGACUGGUGGAGCGCUUAGAAGUGAGAAUGCCGGUAUGAGUAGCGAAAGAAGGGUGAGAAUCCCUUCCACCGAAUAUCUAAGGUUUCCUGAGGAAGGCUCGUCCGCUCAGGGUUAGUCGGGACCUAAGCCGAGGCCGAUAGGCGUAGGCGAUGGACAACAGGUAGAGAUUCCUGUACCAGUGCUAAUUGUUUAACCGAUGGGGUGACACAGAAGGAUAGGGAAUCGCACGAAUGGAAAUGUGCGUCCAAGCAGUGAGUGUGAGAAGUAGGCAAAUCCGCUUCUCGCGAAGCAUGAGCUGUGAUGGGGAAGGAAAUUAAGUACGGAAGUUCCUGAUUUCACGCUGUCAAGAAAAGCCUCUAGGAAGAGUAGUACUGCCCGUACCGCAAACCGACACAGGUAGAUGAGGAGAGAAUCCUAAGGUGAGCGAGAGAACUCUCGUUAAGGAACUCGGCAAAAUGACCCCGUAACUUCGGGAGAAGGGGUGCUCUAUUAGGGUGCAAGCCCGAGAGAGCCGCAGUGAAUAGGCCCAGGCGACUGUUUAGCAAAAACACAGGUCUCUGCAAAACCGUAAGGUGACGUAUAGGGGCUGACGCCUGCCCGGUGCUGGAAGGUUAAGAGGAGUGCUUAGCUUCGGCGAAGGUACGAAUUGAAGCCCCAGUAAACGGCGGCCGUAACUAUAACGGUCCUAAGGUAGCGAAAUUCCUUGUCGGGUAAGUUCCGACCCGCACGAAAGGCGCAACGAUCUGGGCACUGUCUCAACGAGAGACUCGGUGAAAUUAUAGUACCUGUGAAGAUGCAGGUUACCCGCGACAGGACGGAAAGACCCCGUGGAGCUUUACUGCAACCUGAUAUGGAAUGUUUGUACCGCUUGUACAGGAUAGGUAGGAGCCGAAGAGACGUGUGCGCUAGCAUACGAGGAGGCAAUGGUGGGAUACUACCCUGGCUGUAUGACCAUUCUAACCCGCCACGCUUAGCGCGUGGGGAGACAGUGUCAGGUGGGCAGUUUGACUGGGGCGGUCGCCUCCUAAAGAGUAACGGAGGCGCCCAAAGGUUCCCUCAGAAUGGAUGGAAAUCAUUCGCAGAGUGUAAAGGCACAAGGGAGCUUGACUGCGAGACUGACAAGUCGAGCAGGGACGAAAGUCGGGCUUAGUGAUCCGGUGGUUCCGCAUGGAAGGGCCAUCGCUCAACGGAUAAAAGCUACCCCGGGGAUAACAGGCUUAUCUCCCCCAAGAGUCCACAUCGACGGGGAGGUUUGGCACCUCGAUGUCGGCUCGUCGCAUCCUGGGGCUGUAGUCGGUCCCAAGGGUUGGGCUGUUCGCCCAUUAAAGCGGCACGCGAGCUGGGUUCAGAACGUCGUGAGACAGUUCGGUCCCUAUCCGUCGCGGGCGCAGGAAAUUUGAGAGGAGCUGUCCUUAGUACGAGAGGACCGGGAUGGACACACCGCUGGUGUACCAGUUGUUCCGCCAGGAGCAUCGCUGGGUAGCUAUGUGUGGCAGGGAUAAACGCUGAAAGCAUCUAAGCGUGAAGCCCCCCUCAAGAUGAGAUUUCCCAUUUCUUCGGAAAGUAAGAUCCCUGAAAGAUGAUCAGGUAGAUAGGUUUGGAGUGGAAGUGUAGCGAUACAUGGAGCGGACAAAUACUAAUCGAUCGAGGACUUAACCAA